AUUGAACGCUGGCGGCAUGCCUUACACAUGCAAGUCGAACGGCAGCACGGGAGCAAUCCUGGUGGCGAGUGGCGAACGGGUGAGUAAUACAUCGGAACGUGCCCAGUAGUGGGGGAUAACUGCUCGAAAGAGCAGCUAAUACCGCAUACGACCUGAGGGUGAAAGCGGGGGAUCGCAAGACCUCGCGCUAUUUGAGCGGCCGAUGUCAGAUUAGCUAGUUGGUGGGGUAAAGGCCUACCAAGGCAACGAUCUGUAGUUGGUAUGAGCGGACGACCAGCCACACUGGGACUGAGACACGGCCCAGACUCCUACGGGAGGCAGCAGUGGGGAAUUUUGGACAAUGGGGGCAACCCUGAUCCAGCAAUGCCGCGUGCAGGAAGAAGGCCUUCGGGUUGUAAACUGCUUUUGUCAGGGAAGAAAUCCUCUGGGUUAAUACCUCGGGGGGAUGACGGUACCUGAAGAAUAAGCACCGGCUAACUACGUGCCAGCCGCCGCGGUAACAC
rnacentral:rRNA from 1 species